AUUGAACGCUGGCGGCAGGCCUAACACAUGCAAGUCGGACGAGCGGCGGACGGGUGAGUAAUGUAUGGGGACUGCCUGAUGGAGCGGGAUAACUACUGGAAACGGUAGCUAAUACCGCAUACUAUCGGAUAACCCAUACGGGAUUAGCGAUUUGGUGAGGUAAUGGCUCACCAAGGCGACGAUCCCUAGCUGGACUGAGAGGAUGAUCAGCCACACUGGGACUUAGACACGGCCCAGACUCCUACGGAGGCAGCAGUGGGGAAUAUUGCACAAUGGGCGCAAGCCUGAUAGAGCCAUGCCGCGUGUGUGAAGAAGGCCCUAGGGUUGUAAAGUACUUUCAGUCGGGAGGCGUUACCGACAGAGGAAGCACCGGCUAACUCCGUGCCAGCCGCCGCGGUAAUAC
rnacentral:rRNA from 1 species